UACGUAGGGGGCAAGCGUUGUCCGGAAUCAUUGGGCGUAAAGAGCUCGUAGGCGGUUCGGUAAGUCGGGUGUGAAAACUUUGGGCUCAACCCAAAGCCUGCACUCGAUACUGCUGUGACUUGAGUCCGGUAGGGGAGUGGGGAAUUCCUGGUGUAGCGGUGGAAUGCGCAGAUAUCAGGAGGAACACCCGGUGGCGAAGGCGCCACUCUGGGCCGGUACUGACGCUGAGGAGCGAAAGCGUGGGGAGCGAACAGG
rnacentral:rRNA from 1 species